rnacentral:tRNA from 1 species
GCAGUGUUCCCAUAAUGGUAUUGGAUCCGGCUGCUAUCCGGCUGGGCAUUUAUUCGCCUUGUAGGUUCGAAUCCUACACACUGCG